rnacentral:rRNA from 1 species
GUAGCGGUGAAAUGCGUAGAGAUCUGGAGGAAUACCGAUGGCGAAGGCAGCUUCCUGGCAUCAUACUGACACUGAGGCUCGAAAGCGUGGGUAGCAAACAGGAUUAGAUACCCUGGUAGUCCACGCCGUAAACGAUGUCUACUAGUCGUUGGGGAACUUGAUUCCUUAGUGACGCAGCUAACGCAAUAAGUAGACCGCCUGGGGAGUACGGCCGCAAGGUUAAAACUCAAAUGAAUUGACGGGGGCCCGCACNAGCGGUGGAGCAUGUGGUUUAAUUCGAUGCAACGCGAAGAACCUUACCUGGUCUUGACAUAUCUAGAAUCCUGCAGAGAUGCGGGAGUGCCUUCGGGAAUUAGAAUACAGGUGCUGCAUGGCUGUCGUCAGCUCGUGUCGUGAGAUGUUGGGUUAAGUCCCGCAACGAGCGCAACCCUUGUCCUUAGUUACCAGCGGGUUAAGCCGGGAACUCUAAGGAUACUGCCAGUGACAAACUGGAGGAAGGCGGGGACGACGUCAAGUCAUCAUGGCCCUUACGACCAGGGCUACACACGUGCUACAAUGGUAGGUACAGAGGGCAGCUACACAGCGAUGUGAUGCGAAUCUCAAAAAGCCUAUCGUAGUCCAGAUUGGAGUCUGCAACUCGACUCCAUGAAGUAGGAAUCGCUAGUAAUCGCGGAUCAGAAUGCCGCGGUGAAUACGUUCCCGGGCCUUGUACACACCGCCCGUCACACCAUGGGAGUUGAUUGCACCAGAAGUGGUUAGCCGAACCUUUAGGACGGC